rnacentral:lncRNA from 1 species
GUGGCGUGUGGGCUGUUCUAAAGAUUUGAGAUUAGAUCUCAAGUGUUCUUCUCCUUCCUUUCCAAAGAAAGAGUUCAUGCCUCUCUCCUACAGUAUUUGGUGCGCACUCGAAGUAGAGGAUCCGUGCAUCCGAAUCUCACGAAGUAAAUUGAUUGAGGAACUUCUUCAACCUUGAUCUUUAUCCACUAUAAAUCAAGGUAAGAAUUUAUAAAUAUUAUAAAAAUUUUAAUUA